rnacentral:tRNA from 1 species
GGGUAGAGCUCAGUGGUAGAGUAUGUGCUUAGCAUGCAUGAGUCCUGAGUUCAAUCCCCAGUACCUCCA